rnacentral:lncRNA from 1 species
GACGCCAGAGAGACUGAGGCAAAAGGCGCCUACGACUUCCGUAAUACCCUGCGGCUGCUUUAGCCUGAUGCCUCCUGGGAGUUGUAGUUUUCUUUGGAAACCGUCUCUUCUGGAAGCCUGACGGGAGAGUCAUCGUGGGUCGUCACAAGCCUAUCCUAAAGUCAGCGCUUGCUAGGAAAAGCAUUAUUUAGGAACAAAUUGUGAAAAGAAGGGAAGAAGAAGAAAGGAGAGGGAUGGAGAACAAGGGGAGAGGCUCCCAUCAUGCUCUGCUAUAAGAGAGCUUUUAGGCUUUCCAUGCAAUGAAAAAUUAUCUGUUGUUCAUCUUUAAUGGAAAGAGACUCAGUAGUGUUGAGUGACCAGGGGUGGAGGGGUGGAGGGGAAGGGCAAAGGAGGAUAACUAGAGCCUGAGCUAGUGAAGAAGAGGAGUCAACCCACCCAUAGAAAACUUUCCGAAGGUUACACAUGAGAUUAAUAUUGAGUAAAUUAAUUAGGGAAGAAGACAGGAAGAAUUAUCUUCCAUCCUCUCUCCUCCACAGGCCGCAUUCUCAGCUCCAACCCCCAAACGGAUAUUCAGAUGGGCUCUCUUAUGAUCCAGGAUCAUAGUGAACUCUGCUUUCCCGAAAAAGAAUGAACGGGACCGGUGCGGGGGCGGGGAGAUGGGUUCGAAAAAGAUAAAGUCCAUGUAUCCUCGUGUCUGGUCUACAAACUUGAAAGGGCUGAGUUGACUUCUGCCUCUGUAGUUGGUUGAAACUUAUUUUUCAGCUUUCUUUUACUUAGGGACUUGGUAUGUAUAUCUAUCUAUCUAUCUAUCCACCCCCUCUCGAGCUGCACGAAUGUACAUAUGUAAUUUAUGCCAAGGCAGUGGACUCAGGAAAUCUGGAUCCAUAGGGUUCACAGUAAAUGGAAUGCUUUUCCUCAAAGCAUCCUUGCACUCCUUGGACCCCUUUGCUCCUUGCAACUACCCAAGGUUGUGCAGGUGCUGAGCACCAGGGGGCACCAGACAGAGUAGAAAACCAGACUUGUGAGUCAGAUGGCAGUUGAAGUUUUAGCCCAGCCGGUAAGAGCGGGAAGCGCUUAAACGUACGCAACCGCAUCAGAGCGUGGAUGCGCUGCAGCUUCUCGUCAGCGCCCGCUAUGGAGCGAGCUCAGAAACGCACAGGUAGCUGCGGACUACGCUGAGAAAGUAGUUUCGAAGCAGCUAGAUAGAAAAUUCGUUAGCACAAUUUAUCUAGAUGAUCUCCACUCGGAGGAUUGUUGCUGUACAAUUCAUAUUAUUCAGCAAAGUAUAUAAAAAAUGUUCUGCUAUUUUUUCUUUUUGGUUUUCCAAAAACUAUACUUUCAGGUUUACAAAAAAAGUUUGUUUUAAAACAAUGGUUGGUAGCUUUCAUGAAGAUGCUGGUUAUGGUCAUUUUACAAUGCAAAUUCAGUAGAGACAACCAGAGUACAAAAAUAUGUGAGUUACCAUUUUAGAAACUAAAUCUUUCAUUUGAUAUGCUAAUGGUAAGUCUAUUAUGUAGUUAAUGGUUAUCCCCAAUGAUAACCUAAUAUAAGCAAGGGAAGAAAUGACUGUCUAGUAAGCUUGUUGUACUUCUUGAAGCUGCUUCUUAGAACUUGCUCAAUAGUUGCUUUAAUGGGAAAAAGUCAGCUUAUAAUAUAAGGCAACUAAUUAUAAACUGGUGAGUUAAAAGGAGAUCAGUUAAUCACAAUGUUCACUUUUUGCCUCCAUUAAAAAAAAUAGGAUGUUUCUGUGUAAGUGGUUAUUAAAAGAUUUUAUUGCCUAUUCCUGUUUACUGAGCCCUGAAACUUUGGUCACACUGCAUUAAACACAAGUCCCUUAACAAUCACCAUGCCCCAUCAACAUGACUUUUCAACCAGGAACACCUAAAUUUAUUGUAAAUAAUUGAAUUAACUGUUGAUUUAAAACCACAUUUGCCCACAUG